UGUGUUCCCUAAUUUUCAGUUAAUUUGAGCGUUAGAGGGUCUCCGUUGGAAAAUCUUUUAGUCAGGGACUUUUUGCAAGUCCAGCUUCAGCUUCUGGGAGGCACCAUCUCCAUCAGCACCUCAUCAUCAGCCGAGGAUUCAUGUAUCUCAUCUUAGGUCAAGGAUUCUUUCACCUUAUCUUCUUUCAAAAAAGAUCAAGUCC
rnacentral:lncRNA from 1 species